rnacentral:lncRNA from 1 species
CCAAAGCAAAGGUACCUGAAUAAUAAUUAGGGUAUUCCUGAAAGCACGUGUCAACAUGGAGCGGUACAGUGAUUUUUAGAUAAACAAUUUGUGCACAACUGCUGAGAAUGAAUGAAUGAUUGAUUGACACUGACAUUCAAAAUAUAUACUUUGUUCUUUUUGGGACAGAUUUUACUGCAGAUUGGACUGAGACAGUUGAUAAUGUGUUGAAAAGACAUCUGGAUGGACACAGCACUAUCCUACCACACCUUUCUUCAAGCAAGAAGCUUUUACUUUGGAACUGGAUGCAAUUAUAAAGAAGAAACGGACCUUCAUUUGGAAUACUAACAACAUUUUCAUUAUGCCAACUUGAAUGGCAUGGCUUUUGAGGAAACCUAACCCUGAUUGUUUUGAAAGUGUUCACAAGAGUGGUCGAGUUUACUUUUGAGGAAUCUUCUGAAGUCUUUACGGGAACAAAAUCGCAAAAUGGAUCAAGCAAGCGGUGGAGAAGAUCCUAAUAAAGCUAAUAAAAAGAAAGAAAAAGAGGAUGAGAGUAAAAACAAAAAACUGAACGUACACAUAAAAACAUUGGCUGACGACAUGGUAAGGCGUCCUGUUUUCAUUUCUGUGUGUAUUUUGUUUUGCAUCAUCGUCUUUGUGUCAUGGCAGCGCAGGAAGAUGAACUGACAUCUGUGGAUUGAUCAAGGAAACCAGGGUUACGCAGUUCCUUCUGUUAACCAAGUUGGGUUCCUGUAUGAUUGUCUUUUCAGUAUUUGAUGGUUAUAUUAUGUCCCCAAACGAUAACGUCCUUUAAUAUGAAAAAAGUUUAGAUCUAUGUGACGUCAUUGAUUUAAUUUCCUUUAGUCUUUAUUUGUCUUAUUCCAUUUAAUAUGUAUGUGCACUCAUCUAUUCCGCACAAGCAUAACCCCUAAACCCAUAUAGCUAAUACUAAUGACGACUGACUAACAGCGGCUGGUGCGUGGACUUACCCUCUUCUGACUCUGUAACAAAGGUGUGUGCUGCUGGCAGCAUCUCGUUUGAUCUUGUUCUCUCUUCCGUCAUCAGACCUGAAUACAUAUGAGAUGCUCUUGAUUUAACGCUUGCAGUUCGCACUUUUGGAACUAAUCCAUUUGUUCCAUUGCACCAGGCAAAUUAAAUAAUGUACAGCUCAGGUAAAGGUAUGUACAUUACACCUACAUUUCUUCUGUAUUCAUCGGUGUAGCUAGAAUAGCUGAAUACUGUGAGGAGAGAGUAUCUUUCUAAUGUAGGUAUGUUCCUCUGUACUGAAGUUCUACAGACUCUCAUAACAGUCUGUGAUAUUGAACAAACAUAACCCACAGGGUUAAUAGUAAGUGUGAAGGUGAGUCAAAUCUAUGACUCUCGCUGUAGUUUACAGUGCACUGUUUUAUUAUGUACUAUUUUCAUUCAGAUACACAUGAACUGUACAGAUGAAUAAAUCAAGGCC